GCGCGAGUGGCGAAAUUGGCAGACGCGCUGGAUUUAGGUUCCAGUGUCUUCGGACGUGCGGGUUCAAGUCCCGCCUUGCGCAC
rnacentral:tRNA from 1 species